rnacentral:lncRNA from 7 species
GAUGGGGUAUUUUUGAAGAGAUAAAGCAUGAUUUGGGGGUAAAUGCGGGAUUUUUGAAGAGCAAAAGUGUGAUUUUUCGAGUUAAAUGGGGGAUUUUCCAAGAGAAAAUGUGUGAUUUUGGGGAUGAUGGGGUAUUUUUGAAGAGAUAAAGCAUGAUUUGGGGUAAAUGCGUAUUUUCCAG